GAUGAACGCUGGCGGCGUGCCUAAUACAUGCAAGUCGAGCGAACGGACGAGAAGCUUGCUUUUCUGAUGUUAGCGGCGGACGGGUGAGUAACACGUGGAUAACCUACCUAUAAGACUGGGAUAAAUUCGGGAAACCGGAGCUAAUACCGGAUAAUAUUUUGAACCGCAUGGUUCAAAAGUGAAAGACGGUCUUGUUGUCACUUAUAGAUGGAUCCGCGCUGCAUUAGCUAGUUGGUAAGGUAACGGCUUACCAAGGCAACGAUGCCUAGCCGACCUGAGAGGGUGAUCGGCCACACUGGAACUGAGACACGGUCCAGACUCCUACGGGAGGCAGCAGUAGGGAAUCUUCCGCAAUGGGCGAAAGCCUGACGGAGCAACGCCGCGUGAGUGAUGAAGGUCUUCGGAUCGUAAAACUCUGUUAUUAGGGAAGAACAUAUGUGUAAGUAACUGUGCACAUCUUGACGGUACCUAAUCAGAAAGCCACGGCUAACUACGUG
rnacentral:rRNA from 1 species